rnacentral:lncRNA from 1 species
UUAUUUUUAUCUCAUAUAUUAUCUCUAUUUGUGUAUGUUAGGUACUUGCGAUGUGGUGGAAAAGAAAAUUAACAAGCUAGCUGGAAAAUUCGAGUGAUUUGAGAUUUCUUUUCAAAUCAUUUUGAUGCAGGCACGUUCGAUAAGGAAGAUGUAUAAAAAUUAAAAUUAAAAUAAAAACUAUUGAGUGGGUCAAUAGAGAACAAACAGACAGCUGCAAAACGAGGAAACGUCUACUUCCACCAGAGGGUUUAAUAAUAGAGAUGAGUAGAUUAGUUUUAAUUACAGCUCUUUUAUGAAUAAAUCUUCGCCUUGCAUCUACAAUUUAUUUUAAAUUUAUUAAUGUUGGAUUUUUGUGUGGUUGGAUGUAACAGUUUGAAGAUAAAGCAUUUGGAGCACAGAAAAAAUGCCACAAUCUUGAAAUCACAGGCACCAAUACACAUCACACAACAGUCAAGAACAGCCAUGCAAUCGUUUUCAGUCAUGCAGAUAUUUUAGUUUUUAUUUUAUUUUAUUAUUAUUAUUAUUAUUAUUAUUUUUGUAUGUUUUCGUACAACGCUAUCUUUUAAAUUUCGAGUGAAGCUAGCUAAAAUCCUGAUUAUGACAACCGCUAAUUAUUUUUUUAAUUAACACGCAUGGAUGAUUUGGCAUUUUUUUUAAUUUGAUUUGAAGGAAAAAAAAAAAAAAAAAAAGAGAUGAAAGUAAAAGAGAGUAAAGACAUAAAGGGAGAUGAGAUGAAUAUAUCAAACUAAAUAAUGAAAUUUAUAUUGACCAUCUUUUUUCCUUAUUUUUUCUAUCGCUCUCUCCUUCUCAUUUCUCCGCUCCCCUCUCAUUUCUUCCAUUUAAACUUAGGCAAGUUUUAAAAAAAAAAAAACUAAUAACAUCUCAUUUAUUUAAUCUAAUGAGGGUAAUAGUAAUCUUUUGAUUAAUGUGUACAUUGGUGAUCCUCAUUACCGCUGAGUUUUUUUCCAAAAUAAAAAAUGGGAACACAUGGCAUAAAAUCUUUAUUUCGGAUAGCAUUAGAUUCAAAAUCUUAUUUAAAUCACAAAUUAAUUAACGUUCUUUAAAUCUUAUGUGCAAGAUUUAGAUUUAUUAACUGAGAGAUACAUGGAAAAAGAUCAAAGAUUGUUUAUGCAUAGAUCGGGAUUUCCUCCUAAUCUAAAAUUGAUUUCCAUAAUUGUUUAAAAUUUAGUGUUACAAAUACAUUAUAUUGUUCAUGCAUAAUCAAGAUUUAUUACUUCAUUACUUACUUUCUUUUUCUAUAACGAUCAAUUACAUCUAUGUAUUUACUAAAAUAAAAACACGAGAGAAUCCUAAUUAACUAUUAACUACAAAAAUGUAAUUAAAUUUUUUUACUCAUUUUUUUUAACCAAUCAUAAGAGUAUAUAUCAAUUACAUGCUAACAAUAUGACAGAGGAAUUUCCCAAAUUUAAUACUAGAUUGACACGAGUUCUGGCACCUAGUUAACGUGAGCUUCUCCUUCUCAAUCUAGACUCUAGGGUUCCAUUAAAAUAAAUGUCGAUCAAUUUAUUAAACCAUAAUUGGCAUUGAGUUUCCCACUCUUAAAGGACUCCAUUCAUUACAGUCUCUUUCGUUUGAUGGUAAGGGCUCUGCUGCCUAUCAUUAUACGACAAGUUAUCGAAAUUAAUAAUUACAACAAUAAUAAAAAGGCAGAGAUUACAAAGUCAUUCGUCAUUGACAGAAUCAAUUAUUAAUAAAAAAAAAAAAGAUGUAAGUCGGAUGGGUUAGCUUAGAACAGAGGUGACAAGUGUGCUUCCACUUGGAUAAUUAUCAUCAUUGUUAACUAUUUUAUUAACCUUAAUUACUAUGGAUACCUUAUCAACUAACUAGUGGAAAAGAGAUUAAAAAAUAUGAUCGAAAGAAGGGAUUAAAGCCAUUUCUAGAUAGCCACGAUGGGUACAGGCUGGGACUCUUUGUAGUGAGGCCAGUCUUUAUAAAUUAAUAACAUUUUACCAAUCUCUCUCACUGCCUCAUCACUACUAUAAUUAAUCUUUUUAUCGUGCAUCCUAUAUGUAAAAAUUUAAAAAAAAAAAAAAAGAGCUUGCCUAAAUAUACGCGACAAAUUACCCAACCAUGAAGUAUAUACAGCAACUAGAACUUUAUAACAUUUAUGAUAACGUAUCCCGAUCGAUAUUUAUAAUGUUGUAUCGCCAUGAUUUGUUAUAAUUUUGUUACGAACUUUAAAUAUUGUAUUAAAAAUUUUACGUAGUUACAAGUUUCACCUGUGUAUAUAAACAUAAUUCAUACUCAAAAUCAACCUCAUCAGUUCAGGGUUGCCAUAAAGUUUAUAUGUCUAGCUAAGAUCAAUACUUAGUCAAUAUAAGACUUUCUUGCAAGCUAAAUUUUUGUCUUGUUAGCUUAUAUAGACUUAAUUAGUGUUUGGAAAUAAAAUUCUGAAUUAAUAUGAGAUUAUCUCGUUUAGUUUAUAUUCUCAAAUCAAAAUUUAUUCUCAACCAAUAUUAGAUUAUCUAAUUAACACCUUUCCUAUCCUCGUCACAAAGAAAUAUAGCAUGGACAUACUUAUAUACGAGCUACACCUAAUUUAUGCUCAAAAGCUAACUCAUGAGUUGCGUAUUACCUCUAAUUUAUAUAUUUAGUCUAAUAUCUAUUUUUAACAGCAACAUCACUAAGACACUAAUUGUUAAUUAACAAAAAUCUGAUCUAUUUUUGACAGCAACAUCACUAAGACAUUAAUUAUUAUUUAACAUAAAAUCUGAUCUGUUAUAAAAAAAUUGAAAAUUCUAAUACAAAGGAUUGAAAAUAGUUAUGAUUUGAAUACUCUUGCCAAAAAAUGAGAAAUCGUUGAUGCAAAACUUAAAUUAUCUCGGCAGGCAGAGUCACUGCAACAAAACGUGGCUUCAUUUGUUUUGAGAUCAAGGACCUACUUUAGAGAUUUUACCAUAAAUUAUUAUGGUGUGAGAGGAAUGAAGGAGUAGGCUGCCUUAUUUUAUAUCUUUAAUUUUUGCUUAGUGUCGACGAUUGUAAGGUCACUAUUAUGGAUGUGACUGAAACCCUUAUCCAACCAAAAUAAACCAAUGCAGUGAGUUGCUUUUGCAUGGUGGCUAAAAUAUCAUCGUUAACUGGUCCACAAAAGUGCCCAAAGUCAAUUUACUCUUUGGGAACAUCUGGAGCCCCAUCGAAGUUGCAUUAUCAAUCGCAUCCUUUGCCUUUUUGCUCAUCCAUCCACCUCAAGCGUACGCGCCCAUCAAAUGGAAUAAUCUCCUACUAGCUAGCUAGUGCGCAUUUUAUGAUAAAUAAUGUGAAAUUGUCAAUUAUCUCAUCUCUUUGAUUGAUUUCUGCCUUAUUAACAUGAACUAGUCACUAAUGUAUUGGCUUAGUAUUGCAUUUAUCAUAAGAAUUCAAUUUUUUUUUCUUCCACAUAUGUGGGUAGAUUAGAAAUCUCCGUAAAUGUCAGUGGAAACGAAUUUUUUAAUUGAUUUCAGUAGACCACUGGACUGUACCAUACAAAUUUAUAUAUUUUGAUUCUCCACAAACUUCAGAUAAUUAAGAUAUCAUGCCAAUAUUCAUACCAACAUAUACUUAGAAAUUCUAUGAUGAAAUCAUGAACUUGUAACAAGACUGUAUAUAUACUACACAAGCCAAUAUGUAUUACGAAUUUCAAAUGAGUAUAAUCUUUGCCGACAGUGUCGUGUAGCCGGACCCCACUAAUAAAGGUGACAAAAAAUUAACUAACGAAGAGUAGUUUUACACGCUUGGAUAUUAUCGAUAUAAGCAGCGAGUGCGCCAUUGGAGGAUAUGAGGGGAAGUUGGAUUGAUAAUUGAUUAGCUACAAAAUGUGGGUCAAUAUAGAUGUCAUUUUCUCACCGAAAGCCCCGUUAAACACGCAAGCGUGGUUUGUUUGGUUUUUCUCCAAAUUAAUAGGCCCCUCAAAAUGCAUUAACAUCGCCCACAAACGAACCCUAGCAACCAUAGCUAGUAGCCUAGCCAGUAUCGCAAAUAUCUUGCCCACUUAAAUUCUCUUUCUUUACUCCUUAUUUAUGUUAGACUAAGAUCAAGAUUUAACCUAAUCUCAAUCCCCAAGAACACUAUCACUCACUGGUAUCUUGAUCAAGAAUGAUUGAUUAGUGAAUAUGAGAACAAAAUAAACUAAAAUCAAAGAUAAAGAAGAAAACAGAACAAAGAAAAUUAUAGAGGUCAGCCUCUCAUGGCUUACAUUCUCUUGAGACUUAAGACUAUGCUUGAUUUCAUUGACGCAAAGAAUCAGAUAUAAGCUUUCUUGAGAUUACAAUGAAUUGGAUACAACUAAUCACAGUCACAAAGGCCUUUUAUAUAGUCCUGAAAGCUUCUAGAAAGGUUGCUCAAAAAUCAGCCUCUGAUUUUGGGUUUGUUCGCAACAAAUCAAGAACCUUUCACACUUUUCAUAAUGGCUUUUAACAUACUUCUCCCACGUGCACAACAUGUGCAAGUUUAAGUGAUCAAAACGACACAUAUUGCUUGUUGUUUUGAGCCUGAAUUGGUUAAGUAGUCACAUGGCAUGUCACAUGGCUUACUUAGCAAAUUCGUUUGACAUGAGAACCUUGUCAUACACUUCAAUUAUGCUUCCAGCUGGCAUGUCAUCUCUGACUUGUUAUCUUUCCCGACAAUGUCGUUUGUUUCUCAUACUUGAUUCUGGUUUAUCCUCUAACAAUCUUCACCUUGAACCUGAAUCUAUACAUUUCUGUUGUCCAUUCUUCUCUUCCAUCUGCAACUUUACUUUCUAUAGAUGUCUGCCAAAUCUAAGCAAAGCUCAAACUUAACACUUGGAAUUGAUUUAGUCAACAUGUCAACUAUGUUGUUGCUGGUAUGAAUCUUUAAUAGCUGAAUAAUGCCUUUGGAGACUUCAAGUCUAAUAAAAUAGAGCUUGACAUCAAUGUGUUUAGUCAAUAUGUUCAGUUUUCUCAUGAUGAACUUGAUUCUUGCUUAAAUAUAUAGCACUUUGGCUAUCACAUAAGAAUUUAACUGAAGAUAAUGGAUGCCCCAAUUCACUUAACAUGCCUCUCAGUCAUAUUGCUUCCUUGAAUGCCUCUGCAGCAGAUUUGUACUUAGCUUUUGUAGUUGAUAGAGCCACUACAUUUUGUAAUGUAGCUUUUCAGCUAAUGGUACAAUUAUCGACAGUAAACAGAUACCAUAUGAACGAUCUUUUAUUGUGAAGAUUCCCAACAUAAUCUGAGUCAACAUAUCCUACUACCAAGCUCUCAUCUUGCCUUUUACCUCCAUACGUUAAACUAUAGCUUAAUGUUCUUCUUAGGCACCUCAAUAUCCAUUUUACAGCCCUUCAGUUCUCCUUACCAGGAUUAGCCAUAGAUCUGCUGACAAUGCUGAUAGCAUAAGCAAUGUCUGGCCUUGUUAACACUAUUGUAUACAUGAGGCAGCCUACAACACUUGCAUAAGGUACCUUUGACAUUUCAAAUUUGUCUUGAUCUGCAACUGGACAUUGUUUGCUUGAUAAUCUGAAAUGUGUUGCCAAAGGUGUUUGUACUGUCUUGUAGUUUAUCAUUCUAAAUUUGUCCAAGACUUUAAUGAUGUAACUCUCCUGAGAUAGAAACAGAGCUUUAUACCUUUUGCUCCUGAUCAACUAUAUUCCAAGUAUUUUCAUUGCUAAACCAAGGUCUUUCAUUUAUAAUUCAUGCUUCAGUUGCUGCUUUAAAAACUCUAUUUGGUUCAUAUCUCUACAGGCCAAUAACAUAUCAUCCAUAUAGAGUAUCAGAUAUAGUAUAUCACCUUCAUUGUUCCGCCUGAAGUAAACACAACAAUCAAAGCUACGCCUCUGAAAGUUCAACUUCUGCAUUUGACUGUUAAACUUUAAGUACCAUUGUCUCAGUGAUUGUUUUAGGCCAUAGAGUGAUUUCCUUAGUAAACAGACCCAAUUUGGUCUCUUAUGAUCAAGAAAGCCCUCAAGUUGAGAUAUUACAAUCUCUUCUUCGAGCUCACCAUGUAAAAAAAUAGUUUUGACAUCCAUAUGUUCAAGAUGCAUGUCUUCAACAACAACAAGUGACAGAAUUAUUCUGAUUACAGUAUGCCUUACAACUGGUUAAAAGACCUCUGUGAGGUCAAUCUCCUUUUUCUGUGUAAACUCUUUUGUAACCAACCUAACUUUGAACCUUUUGGGUUCAACACCAAGUAUUUCAUCUUUGACUUUGAAAAACCACUUGCAGCCAACAACCUCCUUACUUUCUAGUUUCUUAAUUCGCUCUCAUGUUUUAUUCUUUUAAAGGGAUUCCAUAUCAUCCUGUAUAGCCUUAAGCCACUGAGAUGAGUGUUGAUUUCCAAUAGCUUCUGCAUAGGUUUUUGGUUCAUCAUUCUCCCAUUCAUAUGUUACUGUCAGGGCAUUAAAUUAGCAUAUCAUAACCUCACAGGUGCUUUCAAUGUCCUCUUUUGCCUAUCUCGUGUGAGCUACUAAUCUUGUAUGGAAGUCUAUCCUAUUGUUUGAAGAACAGUUUCAUCUGUAUUUAUAUUUUCUAGUUCCUUUUGAUCUUAUCAUAUGUAUCCUUAUUCCUAAUUAGCUCCACCUCAAACUGUGAUUCAUCAGGCCCUGGAAUUUGUUGUAUAUUCUUAUCAGCAGAUGUUGUGACUUCAAUGUUUCAGUCUCAAUGAAUAUCACAUCCUUGCUGAUUAUACAUAUUAAUGGCUGUAAGUUAGUAUACCAAAGUUUAUAGCCCUUAACCCCUUUAAAAUACCCCAGAAAAGCACAUUUGAAGGCUCUAGGUUCAAAUUUACCUUGUUUUGUAUGUGCAUAAGCAAUACAUCCAAAACUUUUUAAAUUUAAGUAAUUUGCAAGUUUUCCUAGCCAUAUCUCAUUAGGGGUUUUAAAGUUUAAAGCUGUUAAGGGACUCAUGUUUACAAGAUAACAUGAUGUAUUUAAAGCUUUAGCCUAUAAUGGCUUUGGCAGCUUAGAAUAAAACAACAUACACUUAGGGUCAUAUUCAUUUUCUCUGCUAAUCCAUUUUGUUGGGGUGUGUUCCUGAUUGUCUUGUGCCUUAGGAUACCAUUUCUUGCACAAAGUUCAUCAAACUGUUUAUUACAAAACUCUAGACCAUUAUCAGUUAUGAGGCCUCUAACUUUCCUGUUUGUUUGUGUUUCAAUCAACACUUUCCAGUUCUUAAAGCUGUCGUAGGCUUGAUCUUUACUCUUUUAUAGAUAAACCCAAACCAUCCUAGAGUAAUCAUCAAUCAAGGACAGAAAAUACCUAGCUCUACCUAGAGAUUCAGUCUGUGAAGGUUCCUACAGAUCUGCAUGUAUAUAAUCUAAAGUGUCUUUUAUUGAAAACACUUUCAGUCUUAAACUUGGUUCUUGAGGAUUUACUUAGGAUGCACUUCUCACAGAACCCUGAAGCGCUUAUCUUAUCCUUCCCUAAAGCUCCAUGUCUUUCAAGUUCUUUUAACCCAUUUUCACUUAUGUGCCCCAACCUCAAAUGCCACAACAAUGUCUUCUAAUUUUCUGCAACAUUAACAUCAUUUGAUUUUGUUAUACCUUGUAAUAUUUAUAAACCAUUUAGCAUGUCACCUUUCAUCAAUAUCAUAAAGACCUAAAAGAAUUUUAACACACUGGCUUUAACUCUGAUAGUACACCCUGCCUCGUCUAGUAUGCUUAAGGAGAUUAAAUUCCUUUUAAGUUCAGGUACAUGCCUGACAUUUGGCAGUUCUCUUAUUAUGCCAUUAUGCAUUUUAAGUCUUAUAAAGCCUAUCCUAGUGACUUUACAAGAUGCAUUAUUUCCCAUCAUUACCUUACCACCAUCAUAUCGUUGAUAGAUAGUAAAAAGAUGUUUGUUUGGGCACAUAUGAUAUGCACAACCAGAAUCAAGUACCCAUUUACCUUAUGUUUGAUUGCUUGAGGCCACAAGAAUACCAACUGAGUCAUAAUCAUCUUCCUGCUCAUCAGAAACAACAGCAGCAUCUCCAUUUAUGUCUUUGCCCUUCUUAAGCUUGUUUUUUAUUUCUAGACAGUCUAUUUUAAAGUGUCCUUCCUUGUGGCACUGAAAGCACUUUAAAGUCUUGUUCUUAGACUUUGAUUUUCCUUUCUUCUUGCCUUUCAAGUCAUCUCCCUUUUUCAAAUCUUCCUCUAGCUGUCAGCCCCUUAUCAUCUUUGAUUUAGAUUUCUUUGAACUUUCUUUUAAGCUUAAAGCUUCUUUGACAUCCUGCAUGGUUAAAGAUUGCCUCUCAUAUAGUAAAAUGUCAACAAAAUGCUCAUAAAAGGGUGGUAAAGAUGACAACAAUAUAAUUACUUUGUCUUCAUUUUCACUCAUAAAAGGGUGGUAAAGAUGACAACAAUAUAAUUGCUUUGUUUUCAUUUUCAACCUUCACAUUGAUAUCAUUCAAAUCUAAAAUGAUAUUGUUAAAGGCAUUAAUGUGAGCAGAUAAUGAACCUCCUUCCUCUAUCUGAAGGGUGUAUAAUCUUUUCUUGGUGCUCAAUCUCUUAGUAAGAGAUUUUUUAGUGUAAAAAUCUUCCAAUUUUUUCCAUAGAAUGGCAGCUGUCUUCUAAUCUCCCACAUCUCUCAGAACUCUAUCACCAAGGCUUAUAAUUAAUGUGUUGUGUGCCUUAUCCAUGGCAUCUUGAAGAUCUUUAUCUUUAAUCUUUCUUGGCCUCUUGGAACUUUGGCUUUCUUCCAAGACUUUUUCAAUACCCUGGUGUACUAAUAAAGCCCUCAUCUUGAGUCAACACAAGUGAAAAUCAUUCUCCCUUGUGAAUUUUUCCACAUCAAGCUUUUAAGUUGCCAUCCUUGAGUCAAGAAUCAGAGAUGUAAGCUCUAAUAUCAGUUUGUUAGACUAAGAUCAGCAUUUAACCUAAUCUCAAUCCUUAAGAACACUAUCACACACUGAUAUAUUGAUAAAGAAUGAUUGAUUAAUGAAUAUUAGAACAAAAUAAACUGAAAUCAGAGAUAAAGAAGAAAUCAUAACAAAUAGAAUUAUAGAGGUUCAGCCUCUCAUAGCUUAUAUCCUCUUGAGAAUCAAGACUAUGCUUGAUUUCAUUAAUGCAGAGAAUCAAAUGCAAGCUUUCUUGAGAUUACAGUGAAUUCAAUACAACUAAUCACAGUCACAAAUGACUUUUAUAUAGUCCUGGAAGCUUUUGGAAAGGUUGCUUAGAAAUCAGCCUCUGAUUCUAGGUUUGUUGGCAACAAAUCUAGAACCUUUCCUGCUUUUCAUAACGGCUUUUAACAGACUUCUCCCAUGUGCACAACAUGUGCAAGUUUAAAUGAUCAAAACGACACACAUUGCUUGUCGAUUUGAACCUAAAUGGGUUAAGUAGUCAUGUGGCAUGUCACAUGGCUUACUUAGCAAAUUCAUUCGACAUGAGAAUCAUGUCAUACACUUCAAUUAUGCUUUCAGCUGACAUGUAGUCUUUGACUUAUUAUCUUUCUCAACAAUGUCGUUUGUUUGUUAUGCUUGAUUCUAGUUCACCCUCUAACAAUUUAUUUAUUUUAAGAUUGUUAUAAUCUACAGAUAUUAUAAUUAAGAGAGAGAAUCUUUAGCACUCUAGGAGCAUUGUUCUUUAUUUAUUCACUACUUGUAAUAUGUGCAUAAAUAUUAUCAUGAUUGAUUGAAGUAUAUACAUAACAAAGAGUGAAUGAAAAAAAAAAAAAAAAAGCUCCUAAACUACCCAAGACUUUUCCAUGAAUCUCUUAAAAUGUUGAACUCAAAGACUCUUAAUACAAUUCAAAGGUUUAUCAAGUGUAACUAAAAAAUAUGUGCCGAUUAGUGUUAAAGAGCAGAGACCUCUACCGCACAAAUAGAAAGAUAUCCUCAACUUUGUGACGGAUUCUUUUCUCUUUAUUUAAUAACAUUAAUAGAAAGAUAUCUCACAAUCACCAUCAACGUAAGAUUAAUUAUCUUUGUUAGUUUGUUGGCUUCAAUUGUAAUAGGACCCAUCCAACUGCCAACAAUUCUUAUUAUAUCCCACUAGUACGUAUCAUGACCCCGCCAAUCUACUUGCGUGGUCAUAGGCCGCUGUAUAUUGUGAUGAAAUAAACAAUAAUCUUACGUGUGACGGUGCUGUGAGAGUAGUCCAUUAGAACUAUGCAUGCUUUAUAUUGAUUGAUUUGAAUGUGCAUAUGAUAACAUCAGCGUAUUGAUUGAUUGAUUUGAAUGGGUAUAUGAUAACAUUUUAUUAGACUUGUGCUAUAAAAUGAUGUGGGGAUGCUGGUGAGAGCAUAUCCCACGUAAAGCUUUCCAGUACUUUUCUAAUUCGAUGCAUAUAAUACGUAAUCCAAUAAAUUGUUGUCAUGUUUUACAUGUCAUGUACUUGCUUGAUUUUGUAAGAUUUAGAUUUUUUAAACAUUAAUGGUCAUGCUGGCUAGACAGGAAACUAAAUGUACAAACUCAUUUAUACGAACUGGAAGUAAAUGUGAAAAAACAAUGCAAUAAAAAUGUGUAUUGUGGUAAUCAAAAAAAUGAUUUUUUAAUAUUUACUCGUUCAAAAAUUAUAUGGAAGAUAUUGUGAGUAGUUAAUUUGCAUGUUUAAUAUUACUUCUUCAUAUAUUCAUAUACUAACAAAGCCUAACACUAUGAAAAUUGAUUGGGUUCCUUCCAUUGGUAGUAAAAUUCGUUUGGGUACUUCAAAAUACCAAUCCCAUGCACACGGAAAAAUUUACAAAGUUUGCAUAUAAUAGCCUUUCUUGAAAGUUAAAAUGAUAACACAAGGUCAUGAGAGAAGACUCUCCACACAUGAUGCUAAGAGCUUGCUUUUCACUAAACACUUAAUAAGAUUUAAAUUUAGUCAUUAAAUUGUUUUAAGUAUGUUUUUUACCUUAAGAUGUGUUUACAUAAAUUUAAGUCAUUUUUUUUGUAACACUUAAUUUGAUGCAUGUAUUAUUUAUUACCAUGAUAAACCAUAAUAUUUUACCUUAUUAAUUUUAAGUAUAAAUAUGUAAACUAACACAGUAUUUUUCAUAUAUUCCACAUAUGAAAAAAUAAAAAUAAACAUAUGUUGGGUUCAAGUCACGUAGUUGGCCCAAAGUCUACAUAAAUUAUAAUUAAAGAAAAAUUGAAGAGGUUAAAUGCAAUUUUUCAUUAAAUAUCAGUUUUGAAAAGUGCAUUAUAUGAAAAAGAAAAAGUGGCGGCUUGCAUUAAUAAAAGUAGCAGAAAAAUACAAGAGAGGAAGAGAAGACAGUGGUUGUGUAUUAAAUUUCGGGGCAAGAUUUUAAUUUUUGAUUGAAGGAUCAGACCACAAGGUUAAUUUCGUUUUCUUCUAAAUUUAUAAGAUAAGUUAUUCGCAUCGCCUUUUAUAAUUCUACUAGACUUAAUUUUAUUUUAUUCUCUCGUUAAUUAUUAUUUGAGAUACUCACUUACUAGGAUAUUAUUCAUAUAAUAUACUUAUACAUUCAGAUAUAUUUUGAUUUUAGUCAAGUUUAUAUUCAUUUAGAAUUCAAAUGAGAAAACAAAAUACUACCUAUCUAAACUGCAUAAGGAUGCAUUUUAGGCAUCGGGUGGAUAGGAGGAUGCAUUUUAAGCAAUGGGGUUUGGAUGAGUGUAGGGAUAAUGGCACACAAAUUUCACUGUAUUCUUCUCUUAACAUUAUUCAAAAUACAGUAAGAUCUCUUUAUUAUAGUGAUAUUUUAUCUAAGAAUAACCUCAAUAUACUUAUAAAAUAACUUUAGUCCCAAUUUGAGCCAGUUGAAUAAAUAAAAAUAAGCUCCACAUUAUAAUAAGUUAUAUGUUUUUUUAAUCUCGUCUUAAGUAAUUUGCUUUCACAUAAUAAUAAUUUUUUGUACAUAGUAAAAUAUAUAUGUUACAUUAAAGGUCUGGCAUGAAAAAAAAAAUUUAUAAAAUUGUUUGAAACAAUUAUUUAUUCUUUAGAGUUGUUACCACAUUUUUAAACUUGCGAGCACAAAAUAACUCGCUAGUAUGUACACGUUCUUGUUAAAACCAAAUAAUUUCUAGUUUCUCAAGCAUAUUUAGGGUUUCAUGGAACUGACAUUCUCAAUUAAUUAGUUAUUAAUGUAUUCACCUCUAUAAUACUUACAAUAAAGAUAAUUAAAUCAAAAUAAUAAUUUUUAAACUAAACCUCUAUUACAUUUUAAUCUCUUUAUAAUAAAAUUAAUCGAUCCCAAUAAUAUGACUAUAAAAAGAUUUUAGUGUAGUGUUUUUUCUUUUUCAAUGACAUAAAGCUUUUACUGUUGAUUUGUACGAAAACCCACCAACAUAUUAACAAAGACAGCUUGAUGUAUCUCAUUUUAAGAGAUUAUGCAUGGAACUUCUUUUAUAAUCUUUCUGUUUCAAUUUAAAUAUAUAAAAUAUAGCUCUUCCUCACCCACUCUUACACCUGUAUUCAAGUCUCACACUCCCAACAUAUUAAUGAAGACAGCUUGACGUAUCUCAUUUUAAGAGAUAUACAUUAAACUUCUUUCAUAAUCAUUUUGUUUCAAUUUAAUUAUAUAAAAUAUAACUCUUCCCCAUCCACUCUUAUAAAGAUAAAGAAUUUAAGGUUUUAGCCCCCACAAAAGCAUUGUGGGGGUUAAAUGUUCUUUAUAUUUAAAAAAUUAUUCUUUCUUGCAAAAUGUAAGUGAAGUAUGAACAUCCCUCUCCGGUAAGGGGUUAUUUAUCUGGGCAUGUAUUUCAUAGAAUUUAAUGUAAUAAUGUAAGUCUCAAUCAUGUAUAUCUUAUUAUAAAUAUUAGUGUAAUAUCUCUACUACAAUAGCAGUUGUUGUAAAUAUCUGUGUAAUACAGUAAUCUGAUAAUUAAUCAGUAUUCAAAAAAAAAAAAUUUAAGGUCUACUUCUAGUUGUAAAAAGCGAAUUUUUUUUUAAUAUUCAAUAUGAUAAGUUCAAACUUUAAUGAGUAGUUUGUGAGUUAGUAAAAAUAAAUCUACACUAAACAAUUAUACGAAUUCAAUAUCAUUCUUUAGCAAUCCAAUCCUCAAAAUACGCGUGAAGAGAAGGACCCAAAAUGGCACAUCUACACGCGUCAACUUGAGCUCACACUUAUAAUAUGUGGCCCCCGCAGGUUCUCCAUAUACAACUACAACUCUACAAGUGUCUCUUCAAGAGCACGCACCCGUAAAGCCCGUGAUAAGCUUGGAUCACCAAUGGGGCCCCACGUUAAUCAAUUGCGUUUUGUCUUGGUAGUUAAAUUUUUAUUUUUUCAGUUAGAUCUAAAAAAUGAUAAGAU